AUCCAUUCGGGGGUCACGAGCGGCGACGGGUGAGUAACACGUGAGCAACCUGCCCCUGACUCUGGGAUAAGCGGUGGAAACGCCGUCUAAUACCGGAUACGACCCGCCACCUCAUGGUGGAGGGUGGAAAGUUUUUCGGUCAGGGAUGGGCUCGCGGCCUAUCAGCUUGUUGGUGGGGUAACGGCCUACCAAGGCGAUUACGGGUAGCCGGCCUGAGAGGGCGACCGGCCACACUGGGACUGAGACACGGCCCAGACUCCUGCGGGAGGCAGCAGUGGGGAAUAUUGCGCAAUGGGCGAAAGCCUGACGCAGCGACGCCGCGUGGGGGAUGACGGCCUUCGGGUUGUAAACCUCUUUUACCACCAACGCAGGCUUCCAGUUCUCUGGAGGUUGACGGUAGGUGGGGAAUAAGGACCGGCUAACUACGUGCCAGCAGCCGCGGUAAUACGUAGGGUCCGAGCGUUGUCYGGAAUUAUUGGGCGUAAAGAGCUCGUAGGCGGCGUGUCGCGUCUGCUGUGAAAGACCGGGGCUUAACUCCGGUUCUGCAGUGGAUACGGGCAUGCUAGAGGUAGGUAGGGGAGACUGGAAUUCCUGGUGUAGCGGUGAAAUGCGCAGAUAUCAGGAGGAACACCGGUGGCGAAGGCGGGUCUCUGGGCCUUACCUGACGCUGAGGAGCGAAAGCAUGGGGAGCGAACAGGAUUAGAUACCCUGGUAGUCCAUGCCGUAAACGUUGGGCGCUAGGUGUGGGGACUUUCCACGGUUUCCGCGCCGUAGCUAACGCAUUAAGCGCCCCGCCUGGGGAGUACGGCCGCAAGGCUAAAACUCAAAGGAAUUGACGGGGGCCCGCACAAGCGGCGGAGCAUGUUGCUUAAUUCGACGCAACGCGAAGAACCUUACCAAGGUUUGACAUCACCCGUGGACUCGCAGAGAUGUGAGGUCAUUUAGUUGGCGGGUGACAGGUGGUGCAUGGCUGUCGUCAGCUCGUGUCGUGAGAUGUUGGGUUAAGUCCCGCAACGAGCGCAACCCUUGUUCCAUGUUGCCAGCACGUAAUGGUGGGGACUCAUGGGAGACUGCCGGGGUCAACUCGGAGGAAGGUGGGGAUGACGUCAAGUCAUCAUGCCCCUUAUGUCUUGGGCUGCAAACAUGCUACAAUGGCCGGUACAAUGGGCGUGCGAUACCGUAAGGUGGAGCGAAUCCCUAAAAGCCGGUCUCAGUUCGGAUUGGGGUCUGCAACUCGACCCCAUGAAGGUGGAGUCGCUAGUAAUCGCGAUCAGCACGCCCGCCAUCC
rnacentral:rRNA from 1 species